rnacentral:rRNA from 1 species
CCUGCCAGUAGUCAUAUGCUUGUCUCAAAGGUUAAGCCAUGCAUGUCUUAGUAUAAAUCCUCAGAGGUGAAACUGCGAACGGCUCAUUAAAACAGUCAUAUUUCAUUUGAUGGUGAAUGUGUAUAUGGAUAACUGUGGUAAUUCUACAGCUAAUACAUGUAUCCGUGACCGACUUUCAGGAAGGGCUGCUCUUACCAGUCACUAAGCCAACCCAGACUUCGUCUGGACUGUGGGUGAGUCUCGGUAAUAAUUCAAAUCUCGUAGCAUCCGCUAGUGGUGCGUCAUACAAGUGUCUGACCUAUCAGCUGUCGACGGUAGGGUAUUGGCCUACCGUGGCUAUGACGGGUAACAGAGAAUUAGGGUUUGAUUCUGGAGAGGGAGCCUGAUAAACGGCUACCACAUCUAAGGAAGGCAGCAGGCGCGAAAAUUACCCAAUCCUGACAUAGGGAGGUAGUAACAAGAAAUAACAAUACAGGGCAAUCAUGUCUUGUAGUUGGAAUGAGUAGAUUACAAAUCGCUGUAUGAGAAUCAAUUGGAGGGCAAGCCUGGUGCCAGCAGCCGCGGUAAUUCCAGCUCCAAUAGCGUAUAUUAAAGCUGUUGCGGUUAAAAAGCUCGUAGUUGGACUUCUGCUGAGGACGACUGGUCUGCCCUCUGGGUGAGUAUCUGGUUCGGCCGAAGCAUCUUCUUGGAGGUUGCAAGCGCACUUCAUUGUGUGGUGCAGCCGACUGGAAUUUUACUUUGAGGAAAUUAGAGUGUUCAAGGGAGGCGAACGCCUCGCAUAGGUUAGCAUGGAAUAAUGCUGUAAGACCAUGGUAUUGCUGUGUU